GCUCAAUGAAUUUUAAUAGCCGCAGUUUAAUCUGUGCUAAGGUAGCAUAAUCAAUAGUCUUUUAAUUAAAGAAUAGAAUGAAAGGUAAAACGAAUUUAUAUCUGAAUUUUUUCUUCUUAAUAAAAAUAUUUAAUGAGUAAAAAAACUUAUUUAAAAAAGAAAGACGACAAGACCCUAUCAAACUUUACUUAAGUUAUACUGGGGAAGUAAAUUAACAAAAUUUUAAUAAUUUUUUUUUAAAAAAGAACCUUUUUGAUUCGAUCAAGUUACUGUAGGGAUAACAGCAUAAUAAAUUUUUAAAGCUCUUAUUCUAAAAUUUGAUUAUGACCUCGAUGUUGAAUUAAUUUCCUAAAAUGUGCAAAAAAAUUUUAAGGUAGACUGUUCGUCUAUUAAACAAUU
rnacentral:rRNA from 1 species